rnacentral:misc_RNA from 1 species
AUGAUAUUGUUGGUUGACUGACUUAAUCAUGAUCCUUUAAUCAUAAUUGUGAAUCCAAAAAAAAUCAAAUGCCACCAACAAUAAGUAAGCCUUCUCUUUCCAAGGGGCAAUUGCAUCCCAUGUCUAUUUCAACCAAUUUCUUACAAACUACGAAUGUUAAAAGUAUUCCGAAAAUAACUUAAAAAAUAAAAUAGACUAAAACAAAAAAACCUGAUCAUCAUCCUUG